rnacentral:rRNA from 1 species
UACGUAGGGGGCAAGCGUUGUCCGGAAUCAUUGGGCGUAAAGCGCGUGUAGGCGGCUCGAUAAGUCCGCUGUGAAAGCCCGGGGCUCAACCCCGGGAGGCGGGUGGAUACUGUCGAGCUUGAGUCCGGAAGAGGAGUGUGGAAUUCCUGGUGUAGCGGUGAAAUGCGCAGAUAUCAGGAGGAACACCAAUGGCGAAGGCAGCACUCUGGGACGUGACUGACGCUGAGACGCGAAAGCGUGGGGAGCAAACAGG